AAGGCCAGGCUGCGUUUGGGUGCGAGAGCCAGGCCAGGGGGGUGUCCAGAGCAGACGCCGCACCAGUCUGGGUAUAAAAGCCCCAGGCCGGUGGGGGGCUGUGCCGAUCACACCGACGUCCCGCACCCUUUCUGUGUUCGCGUCCACGUUGUUCCUUAAAAAACAACAUUUUGCAACGUUUUGUUUGGUUUUGAUUUUAAUUUUUUUUUAUAUAUCUCUGAGAGUGUAUAAUUGGCACCGACUGAUGUUGAGGUUGAGGGUUGCGGCUGUUUUUGACCUGUGGACGUAGGUUGUGGCGUUUGACCUCUGUGGCGCCGGCUCAAGUGUGUUUUGGCACUGAUAUACCUGCUUUGUGAGGACCUCUGGAGUGAGGAGUGUGUGCUGUUAAAGAGUGGAAUACAGGGACGGUGCGAAGAAGGACUGAGCAAGGGAAAGAGAUGGAGACGGGGACAGAUAGUUACUCACGGGGAACAGAAUGCUGCAUGACACUGUCUCUCUCCUCCCUUUCUUUCUUUCUUUCUUUCUUUCUUUGUACAUCUUUCGUUGCUUCUCUUUUUUCUGAUUCUCUGAGUGUUCUCACUAACACCUAAAGGUUUGUUCCUAGAUCAUUUCUGUACCUUUCCUUUCCCUCCUUUCUCUGUAUUUCUCUUUUGCUAACUCUCGCACGUUCUAACCUUAAUUUUCUCUCUUUAACUCAGUCCAUCUCCCCUCCUCCCUCUACUCCUUCUACCCCCCCCUCCUCCUCCUCCUCCUCCUCCUUUCCCUCUCUCUCUUUGGCUCUAUCAGCACACCGUUCUCACUCCUCCUUCUAUUUCAGUCCUGCUCAGCAGAGACUCAGCAGAGGAACUUUGGACAGGUGGGGAGGAGUGAGCGGGGAGGGAAGGAGGGAGGGACGCUGUGCAGGCGGGUUGACGCAUGUCCAUUCAGACAUUCUCGCCGUCUUUCUCUUCCUUUCAUCGCUGCCGCCAGAGCUUUCAUUUUAUUUUGAUGCCAAGUUCUUGUUAUUUGCCCUGCCCUCAUGUGGGCUCUCUCUUGCAAUCAAGAUUUUUUUUCUUAAGAAAGAAAAACUGAGUUCUUGCUGUCCCACUUCAACGAGAGACAAGGAAGCACCAUCAUUUCUUUCCUCUCCUCCUUUCCUCUCCCUAUUUCAGCCUCCCAUCUCUCUCUUCAUCUCCUCUCCUCUCUUUUCCUGUCCUCUCUGCAUCCUUAAACUCAAAUGCUGAAUCAGCUGAAGACGAACGAACGCUCUGCACCCCAACCCCCCUCCCAUGCCCCAUCCUCACCCCCACCCUUCCCGAUUCACGCAAACCGUCGCACCCCAUGGAGCACCAUCAGUCCAGCAUAAGCUUGGGGGAACUCUACCUGAAAGCUGCCCACUAGGUUGAAACCCCCCCCUUCCUGGGCUCAAUGCCAGCCAUGCUUCUCUCCAGACUCCAACUCCCAGCAACCCCAGACUCACUCAAAAAUGCUUUGCUAAAGCUGGUAAAAUGGAACCAAAUCAACUGUUCAAUGGAUUUGGUCCCCUUCAACCAGCUGUAGCUGCGCAUUGAUCACCCCAGAGGCACCAUCAGGCUGGAACUGGCCAACACCCAGAACUCACUGGCUCAGGAACAGUUCUGAUCCGAUGCUCUUUUGCACGGAAGGACCAGGCCGCGGACGGAACCUACUGAUUCAGGAAAUAGAUCAACGGCGGCAGCCAAGCAGAGAAAUUGUAAUCCCCCUCAAGCGAUCUAAAUAGCCCUAGUCCACAUCGACAUGACACAAUACAACAGUCACUCUCGUCAUUAACACGGUGCAGCUUUUGUCCCAGACACAGCUCUCUAUGUAACCUCUGCAGGUGAGUGUCGGCUUCAUUUCAUUAAUUGCUGCCAGUGUUCACACACACACCCCACACACACACACACACACACACACACACACACACACAGACAGACAGACAGACAGACAGACAGACAGACAGACAGACAGACAGACAGACACACACACGCACACACACACACAGACAGACACACACACACACACACACAGAGAGAGACAGACACACACACACACAGAGACAGACAGACACACACACACACACACACAUGCUAGACUGUAUCAAUGUCUUGUAUGUAUUCACCCACCAUCAGUACCAUUCGACUAGGGUCUUAUCAUUCUUUAUGGCGAGGGAUUGAUUUUUUGUCUCCCGUGUCAGCAAGGAAAAGAGGGGGAUGUGCUUGUAUAUAUAUCGGUGUGUGUGUGUGUGUGUGUGUGUGUGUGUGUGUGUGUGUGUGUGUGUGUGUGUGUGUGUGUGUGUGGAUGUAUGGUGAGGGUGGGGGUGGGGGUUGGGGUUGCCUGCAUAAGUAAAGAAGUCAUUUUUUUUUUCACUUGCUGUGAUUCUUAAUGCAGGAGUCUGAUCAAUAAAAGCUCAUCCUGAAGUUCAUAAACUGC
ensembl:lncRNA